rnacentral:lncRNA from 1 species
CUAAGCUUCCAGAUCAGCACAGUGCUGUUCCGGGUUACAGAGUUCCAGGCCCCCUGCUCCUUGGGGAGCAGGUAGUGCUGAACCAGACAAGCCACAGCAGGACCCCUGGACCCAGGAGGCCAGCAGAGAGCAGGGAACAGCCUGAGCGAAUGGAAGAGGUGGAUUAGGUUUAUAAAGGAUGUAUGGAGUGCUUUUUCUGGCUGGCCCCACACCUGCUGUUCCCACACAGUAGCUGGAGGACAUUGUCAGAGGCUCAGGGAGUGAUGAUGGCCUGGCUUCCAGAAAGACAGUUGAAAACUCAGCUCCAAGGAUCUGGGAGAAAUUUCCCUAAUCCCACUUUUACCGUCAUAUAUGUCUGACCUCGGCACGGGACUUUUCCUCGGAGAGCCUGUAUUGUCUUAGAGCAGUGGUGAGGAAGAGGAGAAAUAAGAAGACACUUGGUAAAGUGCUUGAUACAUAGCACAGGCUCAAAAACUGGUAGGUAAGGGUAAAAAAAGAAAAAGAAAAAAAUACCAGGCCCUCUAGGUCACCCCAGGACGGGAAGAAAGGAGCCCCCAGGCUCAGGAAAAGAAGCUGGGCAAGGCCGGUGGUUUUGUUUUUUCCUUUAAAUUCUCAUGCUUGUCCUUCCUGCCCUAAAGACAAAAAAACGAAAGCUGACCCUCAGCUCCCGGGGGGGAAAAACACCACAGCCUAGGACGAGCCGGGUCCCCGCAGAAUUUUGUCUUCACCAAGCGUGGAGGGACAGACCCUUGAGCUGAUUCGAGGUGGGGAGUGCGAAGGCUUCUUUCCUUGCUCAUUUUUACUCGAUUCAGUUUUUCCCCAAAGCCCACGGCCACGCAGGUGGGCGCGGCACCGGAGCCACCUCGGACCGGAGCCCAACCGGCUCCGGGGACUGUGCGUGCGACAGGGUAGUGCGGCGGCGCUCGCGCUGACCGGGUACUGGACCUCCGCCUGCAAUCCGGACGCCUCCAUAAAAACUGCGAGCUCCCCGGCACCCCACCCUCCAGCACAGAGCUGCGGCUCUGAAAAGUCAGCAACUGGAGACGCCAUUGCCCUUCCCACCCUUGCGGUGGCCGGGGACGAGCCAGUCGCAGUGCCUGUGUGCGGCGGGGCGCGCCGCAGGUAGGGGACAGCAGAUCUGCGAAGCCAUUUUCUGGGCGGAUUUGCAGUCAUUUCUACUCUUGAGAGAACUGACGGGGAUAGUAUGGCGGGGGCCUGGGGGGUGCCAGAUGAUGUCACCAGGAGCAGUUGACCUGGGGGUUACUCUGUUCUCUGACCCUAACCUGCUCCAAGACCCAGCGCCAGACGUCAGUCUUUUCAUCUACAAAAAUGCAAGGAAGGAUUAAAAUCAGACCGUGAAAAAUGCUUACAGCACAAGUAUCCAGGGAGGCUGUCCUUUUCAACUGCAUUGAAUAACCACCGAGAACAGCCCAAAGGUGGACAAUGGGGAAUGUGCAAGUAAAAUAGGAUCUACGUACAGAAUGGGUCACCACCAUGUCACAGUUGGAAGGAAUAAACUGGGUCUAUAGGCAGGGACCUGGAGCUCAAAAUACAUUAAGUAAAGGCAGACAGUUAUGGAAUAAUGCAUACAGCACAGUACAAUUUUUGCAGCACAUCAAACAGAAUUGUGGAUUUUCUAUUGUUAUGUUCAAUCGUUUGUGAAACUAUCUUUGAAAAAAAAGAAUGGGAGAGACACACUACUAACUCAUAAGAGUGGCUGUGUCUGGGGAGAGGAGCAAGGAGUUGUGAUAGCAAAUAAAGGACAUAAGAAACUCCAGCUUUUUUUUCUAAUUUUUUUUGGUACCAGGGAUCGAACUCAGGACCUUGUGCUUGCAAGGCAGGCGGCGGCACCACUGAGCUAAAUCCUCGGCCCUGUGGGUUCAAUCUUUAGGGCUGAAAUAAAGAAAUGCUGAAAACAAAUACAGUUUUGGGGUUUUUUUGUGAAUGAAUACUGGGGAUCCAACUAGGGCCUAUGUGUGCUAAGCAUGUGUUCUACCACUGAACUAUUUCCCCAGCUGUCUUGUUCUAGUUUUUAAACAUACAGGGAAGGGAGGCAAGAGUGACUCUGUGACCCAUCAAGUCCCUCAGCUCAAAGACCCUCUGACCAUCCAUGUAUUUAUUGUAGGCAGUAGUCCUUAAGGACCUAGUACCCCCCUACUCCAAAGGGCUUACAAGGGGCUUGGGGCACCUGCUUCAGCUCCCUCCCCAGUGUCAAGUUCUUCCCCAGCGUCAAGUUUAAUCUCAACCCCUUCCAC